rnacentral:lncRNA from 1 species
CUGGAGCAGAUUGGUGGUUGUUGCUAGGCCCCGCGGCUGACUCCUCAGUGCAGAGGUGCCACUCAGCCGUCUGUAGGGCUGCGCGCCAUCGUGAGGAGGAGGCGGGGUGGCAAUGUUCUUGCACCGCCGGUCGCCUGGAGCCGUGCCUUUGACCGUCUCCUUGAGGGCACUUUAUACAGCAAGAACCUAGAAGGCAUCUCUAGAAGGAACACCCCAGAACCUUGUAACAGGAUGGGUUUCUACAGUUGAAGCUAGAAGGACCUCCACUGUUGGGAGCAAUGCUACAUAAUUCUAGGGAAAAAUCAUUUGAUUAGGCCUAGUUCUUCCACCUACAGGCCAGCUAUGGCAUUCCAAGACAUAAUUCCAUUUUGGCCUCGGGUCACAAUUGAGACCUCAGUGAUCCCGUGAUGCUGUGAUGCUCCAGGACAAGACCACACCUGUGGGAGACACCCUGGGAGGAACCAAAUCUUCAUCUGUGUAGUUCCUGGGAGGAACCAAAUCUUCAUCUGCAUAGUUCCUCAUUGUUCUUAGAUUUCCACACCUUGUUUAUCCCAAUGUGAAGAAUUGAAAGCUACAUGUUCAUUUGUUACAUUUGUUUCUCCUGAUGUACUGAAUAAAAGGUGCUGCAAAGUAGGGGUUUUUGUCUUUGCUGCCCAGAGCAGCACUGAUCAGACCCAAAGCUCAGCUUCUUCUCAGUCUCAUUUUUC